AAGGAUUUGUUGAAACAAGGCGUCCAAGCUCAUGUUUCUACUCUCUGCCUCUCCUUGGGAGGAAGAAAUGGAGCUUAAAGAAGCAUGUGAAGGUCUUCUACUCCUCACUUAAUUUUCACAACAACCCUGUGAGAACUUGUUGAAAAACAGGCCUUGGCUAACUGAUGAAGAAAAGAAGUCAGGAAGAAAAGAGAGACCCCCCCC